GUGCCAGCCGCCGCGGUAAUACGAAGGGUGCAAGCGUUAAUCGGAAUUACUGGGCGUAAAGCGUGCGUAGGCGGUUGGUUAAGUCUGUCGUGAAAGCCCUGGGCUCAACCUGGGAAUGGCGAUGGAUACUGGCCAGCUAGAGUGUGAUAGAGGAUGGCGGAAUUCCCGGUGUAGCGGUGAAAUGCGUAGAGAUCGGGAGGAACAUCCGUGGCGAAGGCGGCCAUCUGGAUCAACACUGACGCUGAGGCACGAAAGCGUGGGGAGCAAACAGGAUUAGAUACCCUGGUAGUCC
rnacentral:rRNA from 1 species